CCUACGGGUGGCAGCAGUGAGGAAUAUUGGUCAAUGGACGCUAGCCUGAACCAGCCAAGUAGCGUGAAGGAUGACUGCCCUAUGGGUUGUAAACUUCUUUUAUAUAGGAAUAAAGUGAAGUAUGUAUACUGCUUUGCAUGUACCUUAUGAAUAAGGAUCGGCUAACUCCGUGCCAGCAGCCGCGGUAAUACGGAGGAUCCGAGCGUUAUCCGGAUUUAUUGGGUUUAAAGGGAGCGUAGGCGGGUUGUUAAGUCAGUUGUGAAAGUUUGCGGCUCAACCGUAAAAUUGCAGUUGAUACUGGCAGCCUUGAGUACAGUUGAGGUAGGCGGAAUUCGUGGUGUAGCGGUGAAAUGCUUAGAUAUCACGAAGAACCCCGAUUGCGAAGGCAGCUUGCUAAACUGUAACUGACGUUGAUGCUCGAAAGUGUGGGUAUCAAACAGGAUUAGAUACCCCUGUAGUC
rnacentral:rRNA from 1 species